CGGAGGAAGGUGGGGACGACGUCAGAUCAUCAUGCCCCUUAUGACCUGGGCUACACACGUGCUACAAUGGCGUAUACAACGAGUUGCCAACCUGCGAAGGUGAGCUAAUCUCUUAAAGUACGUCUCAGUUCGGACUGCAGUCUGCAACUCGACUGCACGAAGUCGGAAUCGC
rnacentral:rRNA from 1 species